GACGAACGCUGGCAGCGUGCCCAAUACAUGCAAGUCGAGCUAAGCGGGGACGGGUGAGUAACACGUGGAUAACCUCCUAAACGACUGGGAUAAAUUAGGGAAACCGGACCUAAACGGGAUACUUAUAGAUGAAUCAACGCUGCAUUAUCUAGUUGGUAAGGUAACGGCUUACCAAGGCAACGAUUCAUAGCCGACCUGCGAGGGUGAUCGGCCACACUGGAACUGAGCCACGGUCCAGACUCCUACGGGAGGCAGCAGUAGGGAAUCUUCCGCAAUGGGCGAAAGCCUGACGGAGAAACGCCGCGUGAGUGAUGAAGGUCUUCGGAUCGUAAAACUCUGUUAUUAGGGAAGCGGUACCUAAUCAGAAAGCCACGGCUAACUACGUGCCAGCAGCCGCGGUAAUAC
rnacentral:rRNA from 1 species